rnacentral:rRNA from 1 species
ACACUCCUGCGGGAGGCAGCAGUGGGGAAUAUUGCACAAUGGGCGCAAGCCUGAUGCAGCCAUGCCGCGUGUGUGAAGAAGGCCUUCGGGUUGUAAAGCACUUUCAGCGGGGAGGAAGGCGAUACGGUUAAUAACCGUGUUGAUUGACGUUACCCGCAGAAGAAGCACCGGCUAACUCCGUGCCAGCAGCCGCGGUAAUACGGAGGGUGCAAGCGUUAAUCGGAAUUACUGGGCGUAAAGCGCACGCAGGCGGUCUGUCAAGUCGGAUGUGAAAUCCCCGGGCUCAACCUGGGAACUGCAUUCGAAACUGGCAGGCUUGAGUCUUGUAGAGGGGGGUAGAAUUCCAGGUGGAGCGGUGAAAUGCGUAGAGAUCUGGAGGAAUACCGGUGGCGAAGGCGGCCCCCUGGACAAAGACUGACGCUCAGGUGCGAAAGCGUGGGGAGCAAACAGGAUUAGAAACCCGAGUAGUCCC